ensembl:lncRNA
UGCCACCCCAGAUAGCAAGCAGACGUUGAUUCAACGUUGAUUUUUGGUUGUAAAGGUCAGUAUCGGUCGUCGAUCAAAUUUCGAUGUUGAAUCAACGUUCACUAUUUGGUCGGAACAUCAGAACGUUAUUUCGUGGAAAAUAAAACAUCGAUUCAACGUCGAAAUCACGUUGACUCAUCAACCGACACAGCCGACGAAUCUGAUCUAAAUCAUAACGUCUGAUAUAAGUUGAAACUUGAUCAGAGGCAUCAGAGAUCUGCGCUUGCACUCUCACACAGAGAAAAAGGACAUGUGUUCUAUCACUGGCUAGCCGAUGCCUAUGUAAAUUCCGCGUGCUUUAAUGAGCGCGCGCUGAACAUUGGAGUAGCGUUCAUUCAGAUUCAAACACUGGAGCGGAGGGAGUUGCCAUGGAAACGGGGCGACCGACAACACUGGCAAGCUGCAAGCUCCGUUUCUUGCUGCUGUUUUCACUGCUUUCGAUUCUUUCGUGCUUGAUGUUCUUCUGCAUCCCAGAGUCUGAGCAAACCUCCUGUCCAACAACAUCUCCAAGACACACUGAACCAUACGGCUAGCAGCGACAAACACAUCGUGGACCAAAGAGGAAACUGACAACACACAGACAGACAAGACAGAGAUAGUUACUUCUGCCUCGCGUGUGAAGACUUCAGAAGAUGCCAGACCUCACAAAGAUUUCAGAUGAUGGCAACUAUAGAUGAACUUGCAAAGCUGCUUAAUAAUCCUUAUAUUGUAAUCAUUGCCCUAAAAGGACGGAUCUUAUCAGCAAAUCUACUUCACAGCACAUCAGUGAAAACAGUUGACAGUUACAGACGGGUGUGUUGGAUCAGGUUCAGAUCUGAAUUCUGAUGGUUUUCUGGGAUGACAGUUGAAGAGAUCAGCACAUCAGAUGUUGGUCUGGACAGCUGUACCUACAGUACACCACAGUGACCUCUCUGCUUUUGCAUGGAUGGCUGACUACUACCAUGUUCUGUGAAGGUAUUAUUAUAGCAAACCUGAGCACCUGUGACAGUGGAAUAGUUGUAAUGAAUAGUCACACAUGCAUAUUGGUAAAUUUAAAGUCACAGAUAAUUUUUUUUAGUACUAGCAAUAUUUUUAUUUUAAAUUUUUUACUAAUUCUCUCCAGCAAACACAACACAACAGUUACACCAUUUCAAAUUCUGAGGUGCACAAAUCCUAUUCUACAAAUAAGAGAACAACAGUAUAAAAGUGCUCAGUUUAGCCCCUUUCACACUGAGAUUCCAGAUGAUACACGGGUAAUUGUUCCCGGAUCGUUAGAUUUUGGUUCAUUCACACUGCCAGUGAGUGCGUUCACACACAACCGGUAAAGGUCCCAUAAUGAUACGAGACAUCAGGAUGUGAUGUGUAAUGUACGAGUUGAAAACGCUAGGCCGCCAAAAAACGGAAGAAGGAGAAGAAGCAAACCAGAAGUGUUUUCAAUACUUUAUAAACAUGGCAGCUGAUCAGCUACUGGGGCCAUUGUUGUUUAUGUAUAAAGCAUCUUCCACACAGAAAUUCCGGAAAAUACACCAAUAAUGUGUUCCAGGAUCCUCUAAUUGUGGUUCAUUCACACUGCCAGUAAUUUUCUGGAAUCUGUGUGUGCGUUCACACACAACCCAUAAAGAUCCCGUAAAGACACGUGACAUUACGAUGUGACGUGUUUUGUUUCACUUAAACUGGUGAACGAUCUCAGCUUCAGCACGGAUAGUGAGGAACUAACUGAUCUCUGCUUCAUUACAAUUUGCACAUUUUUUUCGUCACGAAUGUUGAUCUGCCUUCAAAACACCUGCUAAAAGAGUCGCAUGAUAACGUGCGUCAUCACUACGACACAUCCUUUACGCCAUUGGUUCUGGCUUUUGUUCACACAGAGCUCGUUCUAGGUAAGGUAAGUGCUAGUAUCAGUGGUGGAGGUGCUGAGGAAAAAAAAAAAAAGAGGUGUCUUUAAGAGGUGUUUUUGGAAAAUGGCUGAAGACUCAGAUGCUCGAAUUGAGAAAGGCAGGUCAUUCUACCAUGAUCUUAUCUACAAAUACUACUGUUCUCAUAAAGUCUGUAAAUAUGUCCAGUUCUAAUAAACACACAUUUCAGGAAAAAAUAAUUCAAUAAUAUGACCAAAAUGAAAUACAGCCCUGCAUAAAUCUGGUAUAACUGAGUCUGUGAAUUUCUUAAUUUGUGAUUUGUAGAAUAGGAUUUAUGCACCUGCAAUGAAGAUUUUGAGAAGGUUUUGUUGUGUUUGUGAGAGAGAAAGAAACAAAAUACAAGCUUGUAACUCCAAAAACAUUUUCUUGAUAACUUUACUGAAAUAUUCUCUACAAAUACAAAUUCCACUGUCACAGGUGCUCAAUUUUGUUACAAUAAUGUACAAAGUGUCUCAAAUGUACUAUAGAUGUACUGUAUGCAAAUAAAACAAAGGGACAUUAACAACUGAAUAUUCAGGGGAUGGAAACUUAUCACCUUUAAGUAAAAUUGAAUUUUGAAUCUAAAUAUCAUUUGCAUGAUUUGUGUAGAUCCAAAAGAGUUUUUAAAAGUGCAUUAGUUAAAUAGCACAUGCUAAAUAGCACAAGGCAUAUUUUACAUGUUAUUUACAUAAUAAAAAGAUAAGGGAAACAUGUUUUACAUCAAGUGUUGCCAUUUUAUAUGAAAAUAUACAAAAGAUAAUAUUUUUGAGGCACAUGAUAAAAAAAUUACCCCCAAACUUGAGGGAAAUGUAAUAAUGGAGUGAUGGUUAAUGUAUAAAAAAAGCAACUAAAAACUAACUUUAUUGUCUUAUUUGUCUGUCUGCUGAUAUUUAAUUGUGGGUUACAUCGUCACCUUUUUCAAACCUGACCUGAAUAGUUCACAUCCCUGAUAUUACAAAGAACUUAAGUUUUAAUUGGUAAUAACAUUUUUAUUCAGUGAAUAUGGUUUUUAAUUUGUUACUUGACACUAUUUAUAUUAGCCUAUAAUAUACUUUAUACCUUUAUACCUCUUUGUGUGUGUAUUUGUGUGUAAAUGCAUUUUCUUUGCUAGACAUAGAAGGUUUGUGCUCUAAACAUGUAUUUGUAACAGUGUUUAAACUGUAUUCGUAUUGUAUAAAUAAUAAAGAAAUUAUGACUGAAUGUGAUGUGUGUUUAAUAAAUUAUUACAUAUACAGGCUAAUUUAUUUAGUACUAAGUAUGUG